UUAGAGUUUGGAUCAUGGCUCAGGACGAACGCUGGCGGCGUGCCUAAUACAUGCAAGUCGUACGCUUCUUUUUCCACCGGAGCUUGCUCCACCGGAAAAAGAAGAGUGGCGAACGGGUGAGUAACACGUGGGUAACCUGCCCAUCAGAAGGGGAUAACACUUGGAAACAGGUGCUAAUACCGUAUAACAAUCGAAACCGCAUGGUUUUGAUUUGAAAGGCGCUUUCGGGUGUCGCUGAUGGAUGGACCCGCGGUGCAUUAGCUAGUUGGUGAGGUAACGGCUCACCAAGGCCACGAUGCAUAGCCGACCUGAGAGGGUGAUCGGCCACAUUGGGACUGAGACACGGCCCAAACUCCUACGGGAGGCAGCAGUAGGGAAUCUUCGGCAAUGGACGAAAGUCUGACCGAGCAACGCCGCGUGAGUGAAGAAGGUUUUCGGAUCGUAAAACUCUGUUGUUAGAGAAGAACAAGGAUGAGAGUAACUGUCUCCCUGACGGUUCACCGAAGCCCA
rnacentral:rRNA from 1 species